AGGCCGCAGCAAAAAGCCAAAUCAAGAGUUUCAUUUCUGCAAUCCAAAUGGAAACCGAAGGAAAAUUUUACAGAAUGUGAGACAAAAAGAAGCCCCAGUGUGUUAAAACUUCUCGAAACCGAAGGAGAUGAUACUACCCUCGAUGCCCAAAACGGAGAAAACCCCGAAACCUUCCUGCUCAGUCAAGCCAAGAUUUAAUGCCUACCCUUCCUGCUCAGUCAAGCCAAGAUUUAAUGCCUACCCUUCCUGCUGAACUCAUCACAGAAAUCUUGUUAAAGCUUGCA
rnacentral:lncRNA from 1 species